GACGAACCGAGCGAACGUUGUUCGGAAUCACUGGGCUUAAAGGGCGCGUAGGCGGGUGCUCAAGUCCGGGGUGAAAUCCUCCAGCUCAACUGGAGAACUGCCUCGGAUACUGGGCGUCUCGAGUGUGGUAGGGGUAUGCGGAACUAUCGGUGGAGCGGUGAAAUGCGUUGAUAUCGAUAGGAACUCCGGUGGCGAAGGCGGCAUACUGGACCACCACUGACGCUGAUGCGCGGAAGCCAGGGGAGCAAACGGG
rnacentral:rRNA from 1 species